UACCCGCUGAACUUAAGCAUAUCAAUAAGCGGAGGAAAAGAAACUAACAAGGAUUCCCCUAGUAACUGCGAGUGAAGCGGGAAAAGCUCAAAUUUGAAAUCUGGCAGUCCCUUGUGAUUGUCCGAAUUGUAAUUUAGAGAAGUAUUAUCCGUGCUGGACCGUGUACAAGUCUGCUGGAAUGCAGCGUCAUAGAGGGUGAGAAUCCCGUCUCUGACACGGACUACCAGUGCAUUGUGAUAUACUCUCAAAGAGUCGAGUUGUUUGGGAAUGCAGCUCAAAAUGGGUGGUAAAUUCCAUCUAAAGCUAAAUAUUGGGGAGAGACCGAUAGCGAACAAGUACCGUGAGGGAAAGAUGAAAAGAACUUUGGAAAGAGAGUUAAACAGUACGUGAAAUUGCUGAAAGGGAAACGCUUGAAGUCAGUCGCGUUGUACGAGAAUCAGCCUUGUNUUU
rnacentral:rRNA from 1 species